UACAGAGGGGGGCGAGCGUUGUUCGGAAUUACUGGGCGUAAAGGGCGCGUAGGCGGCCUACUAAGUCGAACGUGAAAUCCCCGGGCUCAACCCGGGAACUGCGUCCGAUACUGGGAGGCUUGAAUCCGGGAGAGGGAUGUGGAAUUCCAGGUGUAGCGGUGAAAUGCGUAGAUAUCUGGAGGAACACCGGUGGCGAAGGCGGCAUCCUGGACCGGUAUUGACGCUGAGGCGCGAAAGCCAGGGGAGCAAACGGG
rnacentral:rRNA from 1 species